AUGCAUACUAUUUGAAAGCUCUUAAAGUACGUCGCGUUAUCAAAAAUGAAUUUGAUGCAGCCUUCUCCAAGGUUGAUUUGUUAUUGGCUCUAUCAGCUCCUAUCACAGCGUAUAAGUUUGGUGAAAAAAUCAAUGACCCAUUAGCUAUGUACUUAGAAGAUAUUUGUACAGUUCCAGCUAACUUAGCAGGUAUUCCUGGUAUUAGCAUUCCUGCAGGCAUGAGUAGCGAUAAUUGGGGUGAGAAUCCCCAACGCCGUAAACCCAAGGUUUCCUACGCGAUGCUCGUCAUCGUAGGGUUAGCCGGGUCCUAAGCAAAGUCCGAAAGGGGUAUGCGAUGGAAAAUCGGUUAAUAUUCCAAUGCCAACUAUAAUGUGCGAUGGAAGGACGCUUAGAGUUAGAGGAGCCAGCGGAUGGUAGUGCUGGUCGAAAGGUGCAGGUUGGAGUUCAGGCAAAUCCGAACUCCUUUAAGCCGAGGCCUUACAGGUGCGUGAAGUUCUUCGGAAUGAAUCGUAAAUCCUUGAUACUGUCGAGCCAAGAAAAGUUUCUAAGUUUAGUUAUAGUUGCCCGUACCGUAAACCGACACAGGUGGGUGGGAUGAGUAUUCUAAGGCGCGUGGAAGAACUCUCUUCAAGGAACUCUGCAAAAUAGCACCGUAUCUUCGGUAUAAGGUGUGCCUAACUUUGUGAAGGAUUUACUCCGUAAGCAUUGAAGGUUACAACAAAGAGUCCCUCCCGACUGUUUACCAAAAACACAGCACUCUGCUAACUCGUAAGAGGAUGUAUAGGGUGUGACGCCUGCCCGGUGCUCGAAGGUUAAUUGAUGACGUUAGCUCUGCGAAGCGUUUGAUCGAAGCCCGAGUAAACGGCGGCCGUAACUAUAACGGUCCUAAGGUAGCGAAAUUCCUUGUCGGUUAAAUACCGACCUGCAUGAAUGGCGUAACGAGAUGGGAGCUGUCUCGAAGAGGGAUCCAGUGAAAUUGUAGUGGAGGUGAAAAUUCCUCCUACCCGCGGCAAGACGGAAAGACCCCGUGGACCUUUACUACAGCUUGACACUGCUAUUGGGAUAAAAAUGUGCAGGAUAGGCGGGAGGCUUUGAUCCAUAGACGCCAGUUUAUGGUGAGCCAUUGUUGAGAUACCGCUCUUUUUUAUUCUGAUAGCUAACUAGCUUGAGUUAUCCUCAAGUAGGACAAUGUCUGGUGGGUAGUUUGACUGGGGCGGUCGCCUCCCAAAAUGUAACGGAGGCUUACAAAGGUUGGCUCAGAACGGUUGGAAAUCGUUCGUAGAGUAUAAAGGCAUAAGCCAGCUUAACUGCGAGACAUACACGUCAAGCAGAGACGAAAGUCGGUCUUAGUGAUCCGGUGGUUCUGUGUGGAAGGGCCAUCGCUCAAAGGAUAAAAGGUACCCCGGGGAUAACAGGCUGAUCUCCCCCAAGAGCUCACAUCGACGGGGAGGUUUGGCACCUCGAUGUCGGCUCAUCGCAUCCUGGGGCUGGAGCAGGUCCCAAGGGUAUGGCUGUUCGCCAUUUAAAGCGGUACGCGAGCUGGGUUCAGAACGUCGUGAGACAGUUCGGUCCCUAUCCUCCGCAGGCGCAAGAGGAUUGAGGAGGUCUGCCCCUAGUACGAGAGGACCGGGGUGGACGGACCUCUGGUGCAGCAGUUGUCGACCAACGGCACGGCUGCCUAGCUACGUCCGGCACGGAUAACCGCUGAAAGCAUCUAAGUGGGAAGCCGUCUCCAAGAUGAGUCCUCUUUCCGGUAAGGGCCCAGGCAGAACACCUGGUCGAUAGGCCGCAGGUGCAAGGCGUGCGAGCGCCUCAGCCGAGCGGUACUAAUAGCCCGAGCUCUUCU
rnacentral:rRNA from 1 species